ensembl:snRNA U4 U4 spliceosomal RNA
AGCUUUGCACAGUGGCAGUAUUGUAGCCAAUGAGGUUUAUCCAGGUGCAAUUAUUGCUAAUUGAUUAUUGCUAAUUAAAAAGUAUUCUCCACAAUGUCACAAUCACAGCUGAAAAUAUUGACAGUCAUUUCCUAGUG